GGCUGGGUGGCCUAGCGGUAAGGCGCCCCAGUACUAGUGGGGGAGACCCAGGUUCAGUUCCCUGGUCUGGCCA